GGGUCUAUGGCUCAGCCAGGUAGAGCACCGGACUCUUAAUCCGGCUGUCGAGGGUUCGAAUCCCUCUAGACCCGCCA
rnacentral:tRNA from 4 species